GACUAACGCUGGCGGCGUGCCUAACACAUGCAAGUCGAGCGGGGUAGCAAUACCCAGCGGCAGACGGGUGAGUAACGCGUGGUCAACCUUCCGAUGAGUGGGGGAUAACUAGCCGAAAGGUUAGCUAAUACCGCAUACGAUCUUGGAGAGGCAUCUCUUUAAGAUGAAAGGAGCAAUCCGCUCAUUGACGGGACCGCGUCCCAUUAGCUAGAUGGUGGGGUAAUGGCCUACCAUGGCAACGAUGGGUAGCUGGUUUGAGAGAGCGACCAGCCACACU
rnacentral:rRNA from 1 species